rnacentral:rRNA from 1 species
AUGACCAUGAUUGAAACAUAUCAAGUCCAAGACAACGAUACUCUUGCUAGCCUGUGGGAGAAGCGAAUGUGCUGGGUGCCGACCUACUUCAUGCAGUGCUUCUUCCCUUUUCUGCAGACUACGCAACACAGCGAGGGGUUCAAAGCUGUUUUGAAGCGGUACAUGAGCCCUGGCAACUCAUUGCUACAGUUUGCCAAGCAAUACACAACAUUGCAACAAAAAAUACCGGGAUCUGAGCUACAGCAAGAAGCGAACACCGCCCUAAAGCAGUCAAAAUUGCUAACGUAUUUACCGAUGGAGAGGCAAAUGAGCAAGAUAUAUACCAACAAGAUCUUUAACAAAUUCCAGGAAGAAAUAAAGCGUGCCAGCAUGUUCACGGCUUUCCAGGUGGACGAACAUACGUUCAAGUUUGAACGGGACAACAUUGUGUGCUGUCACAUACUAAAAGUAAUGGACAUGAACGCGGUGACACGGAUGCUCCACCAUUUCAUAAGGCGGCGAUGGACUUGGGACGCUGACGACGCGUUGGCGCUGCAGACAACAAACGUAGUUCUAGCUGUGCACGACGAGAGACCGGAGUCAACCAAGGAAGUCGUGAGGCACAUUGUGCUGACAAAGAACUAUGCUGAGCUAAUUGAUGAAGCGUGCAAGAGUGAUGAGACAGCGAGAGUCACAGAAAAACACAGGAAGGCCCUGAAAAGAGAGCUUGAUGAGAUCAAGAAGAGGAAAGCCGAGGAAGCCUUACAUAGGUUCCCCCGCACAUCAAGUGUGCCUUCGUCCACGGGGCCAUCAUCUGAAAACUCGGAGAUAGGAUCUCGGAACAGCAAGCACACAAACUCAGGUCAGGAACCCGCCCUGUUCCAUCACAAAAGGGCGUCCAAAAGAGAUAAGAUAUAA